rnacentral:rRNA from 1 species
UCUUGGUCAUUUAGWGGAAGUAAAAGUCGUAACAAGGUUUCCGUAGGUGAACCUGCGGAAGGAUCAUUAAUUACGAAAGCUAUAGCCCCUUCGGGGGUUAUUGCAUCCACCCUUUGUCUACUUGUACCUCUUGUUGUUUCCUCGGCGGGCUUGCCCGCCGCUAGGAACCACCUAAACCCUUGCAUCUAUAGUAUUAAAAUCUCUGAUAACUAUUUAAAUUAUUACAACUUUCAACAAUGGAUCUCUUGGUUCUGGCAUCGAUGAAGAACGCAGCGAAAUGCGAAAAGUAGUGUGAAUUGCAGAAUUCCGUGAAUCAUCGAAUCUUUGAACGCACAUUGCGCCCCUCGGUAUUCCGUGGGGCAUGCCUGUUCGAGCGUCAUUUACACCCUCAAGCUCUGCUUGGUGUUGGGCGUCUGUCCCGCUUUAUGCGUGGACUCGCCCCAAAGUCAUUGGCAGCGGUCGUGCCAGCUUCUCGCGCAGCACAUUUGCGUUUCUUGAAGUUUGGUGGAUCAGCAUCCAGUAAGCUCUUUUAUGACUUGACCUCGGAUCAGGUAGGGAUACCCGCUGAACUUAAGCAUAUCAAUAAGCGGAGGAA